CUUGGCCAACAUGAUGAAAUCCCGUCUCUAAUUAGCCAGACAUGGUGACAUGCACCUGUAAUCACAGCUACUCAGGAGGCUGAGGCAGGAGAAUCUCUUGAACCCAGGAAGCAGACGUUGCAGUGAGUAGAGACCGUGCCGUUGCAUUCCAGCCUGGGCAACAAGAGUGGAAGUCCAUCUAAAAAAAAAAAAAAAAAAAACCUAUGAACCUAUGAAGAAAAGUCCAGAAAGAGAAACUCUAAAAUGAUUGUUGUAAAUGUGAUUUGCUCUGCAUGGAUGAGUAGUAGGGAUCAUUUUCCUAUUAUCUACACUUUUUUAAAAAGUUUUAAAGAAUUCCAGUUGGUGUUAUGAUUAUGUGAAUAAAUCAAACCCAAUAACUGGACAGCUGUUUGAGACGGAGUCUCGCUUUGUUCCCCGGGCUGGAGUGCAAUGGCGCGAUCGCUGCUCACUGCAAGCUCCACCUCCCGGGUUCACGCCAUUUUCCUGCCUCAGCCUCUGGAGUAGCUGGGGCUACAGGCGCCCGCCACCACUCCCGGCUAAUUUUUUUGUAUUUUUAGUAGAGACAGGGUUUCACCAUGUUAGCCAGGAUGGUCUCGAUCUUCUGACCUCGUGAUCCUUCCGCCUCAGCCUCCCAAAGUGCUGGGAUUACAGGCGUGAGCCACUGCGCCCGGCCAUUAAGAUUUCUUAGUUGUGAAACACCGUGAAUCCCACCAUCAUGUGACUUGCCUUGAGAAUCUCCCAGAGUCUUGACUAUAGACCAUAAGCAUUAUGGGCAGUGCCUUCUUCCCACCCCUUCCACCUCCACACCUUCAUUCCUUCCAUUCUGUUCUUCCAGGUGAAGUCAUGGGCAUUGGGCGUUCAUUUGAGGAGGCCUUCCAGAAGGCCCUGCGCAUGGUGGAUGAGAACUGUGUGGGCUUUGAUCACACAGUGAAACCAGUCAGCGAUAUGGUAAGUAGCUCCCCUCCCCUGGCAAUACCCCUAAAAUAGACCCUGCUUCUCAUCGCCCCCAGACCAUGAGCUUGUUACCAGUAACACUAGCAGCAGUCAUCAUUGGACAUUUGCUUUGUUUCCACUUUGCUGAGAAUUUUGAGAUGUCUCAUUAGCACGCAAGGGUGUAUUACUAGACUUGUUUUUACAGAUGAGGAAACUGAGACAUAGGUUAUAGAAAUUGCUCAAAGCCACAUAGCCAAUGAGAGGUAGACCCAGGAUUGGUAUCCAGGUUUUUGCAGUUAUACAGCCUGUGCUCUGAUGUACAGUUUCCCCUUCCUGAGACAAGGGCAGCUACUUACGCUCAGGCUUUUAGAUGGUCUGGCAGUAGCUUCCGUCUGUCUACCCCCUUUCUAUCAGGAGUUGGAGACUCCAACAGAUAAGCGGAUUUUUGUGGUGGCAGCUGCUUUGUGGGCUGGUUAUUCAGUGGACCGCCUGUAUGAGCUCACACGCAUCGACCGCUGGUUCCUGCACCGAAUGAAGCGUAUCAUCGCACAUGCCCAGCUGCUAGAACAAC
rnacentral:lncRNA from 1 species